rnacentral:rRNA from 1 species
GACGUAGGUCGCGAACGUUAUCCGGAAUUAUUGGGCGUAAAGGGUGCGUAGGUGGUUUGUUAAGUCUGAUGUGAAAGCCCGGGGCUCAACCCCGGAAUGGCUUUCGAAACUGCUGAGCUAGAGUACAGAAGGGGCAACCGGAAUUCCCAGUGUAGCGGUGAAAUGCGUAGAUAUUGGGAAGAACACCUGAGGCGAAGGCGGGUUGCUGGGCUGAUACUGACGCUGAGGCGCGAAAGCCAGGGGAGCAAACGGG